GCCAGACUCCUACGGGAGGCAGCAGUGGGGAAUAUUGCACAAUGGGGGAAACCCUGAUGCAGCGACGCCGCGUGAGUGAAGAAGUAUUUCGGUAUGUAAAGCUCUAUCAGCAGGGAAGAAAAUGACGGUACCUGAUUAAGAAGCCCCGGCUAACUACGUGCCAGCAGCCGCGGUAAUACGUAGGGGGCAAGCGUUAUCCGGAUUUACUGGGUGUAAAGGGUGCGCAGGUGGCAGGGCAAGUCAGAUGUGAAAGCCCGGGGCUCAACCCCGGUAUUGCACUUGAAACUGUCCGGCUAGAGUGCAGGAGAGGUAAGCGGAAUUCCUAGUGUAGCGGUGAAAUGCGUAGAUAUUAGGAGGAACACCAGUGGCGAAGGCGGCUUACUGGACUGUAACUGACACUGAGGCACGAAAGCGUGGGGAGCAAACAGGAUUAGAUACCCGCGUAAC
rnacentral:rRNA from 1 species